rnacentral:rRNA from 1 species
AUUGAACGCUGGCGGCAUGCUUUACACAUGCAAGUCGAACGGCAGCACGGGAGCUUGCUCCUGGUGGCGAGUGGCGAACGGGUGAGUAAUACAUCGGAACGUGCCCAGUAAUGGGGGAUAACUAUCCGAAAGGAUAGCUAAUACCGCAUACGCCCUGAGGGGGAAAGUGGGGGACCAGCAAUGGCCUCACGUUAUUGGAGCGGCCGAUGGCUGAUUAGCUAGUUGGUGAGGUAAAGGCUCACCAAGGCGACGAUCAGUAGCGGGUCUUAGAGGACGAUCCGCCACACUGGAACUGAGACACGGUCCAGACUCCUACGGGAGGCAGCAGUGGGGAAUCUUGGACAAUGGGCGCAAGCCUGAUCCAGCAAUGCCGCGUGGGUGAAGA